GACGAACGCUGGCGGCGUGCUUAACACAUGCAAGUCGAACGGAAAGGCCCUGCUUUUGUGGGGUGCUCGAGUGGCGAACGGGUGAGUAACACGUGAGUAACCUGCCCUUGACUUUGGGAUAACUUCAGGAAACUGGGGCUAAUACCGGAUAGGAGCUCCUGCUGCAUGGUGGGGGUUGGAAAGUUUCGGCGGUUGGGGAUGGACUCGCGGCUUAUCAGCUUGUUGGUUGGGUAGUGGCUUACCAAGGCUUUGACGGGUAGCCGGCCUGCGAGGGUGACCGGCCACAUUGGGACUGAGAUACGGCCCAGACUCCUACGGGAGGCAGCAGUGGGGAAUAUUGCACAAUGGGAGGAAGCAUGAUGCACCAACGCCGCGUGCGGGAUGACGGCCUUCGGGUUGUAAACCGCUUUCGCCUGUGACGAAGCGUGAGUGACGGUAAUGGGUAAAGAAGCACCGGCUAACUACGUG
rnacentral:rRNA from 1 species